CCUACGGGAGGCAGCAGUGGGGAAUAUUGCACAAUGGGCGAAAGCCUGAUGCAGCCAUGCCGCGUGUGUGAAGAAGGCUCUAGGGUUGUAAAGCACUUUCAGCAGGGAGGAAAGGUUGUAAAUUAAUACUUUGCAGCUGUGACGUUACCUGCAGAAGAAGCACCGGCUAACUCCGUGCCAGCAGCCGCGGUAAUACGGAGGGUGCAAGCGUUAAUCGGAAUUACUGGGCGUAAAGCGCGCGUAGGCGGUUUGUUAAGCUGGAUGUGAAAGCCCCGGGCUCAACCUGGGAACUGCAUUCAGAACUGGCAGGCUAGAGUAUUGGAGAGGUGAGUGGAAUUUCCCGUGUAGCAGUGAAAUGCGUAGAUAUGGGAAGGAACACCAGUGGCGAAGGCGACUCACUGGCCAAAUACUGACGCUGAGGUGCGAAAGCGUGGGGAGCAAACGGGAUUAGAUACCCCGGUAGUCCACGCCGUAAACGAUGUCUACUAGCCGUUGGCCUCCUUGAGAGGUUAGUGGCGCAGCUAACGCACUAAGUAGACCGCCUAGGGAGUACGGCCGCAAGGUUAAAACUCAAAUGAAUUGACGGA
rnacentral:rRNA from 1 species